rnacentral:rRNA from 1 species
UAGGGAAUCUUCGGCAAUGGACGGAANUCNGGACCGAGCAACGCCGCGUGAGUGAAGAAGGUUUUCGGAUCGUAAAGCUCUGUUGUAAGAGAAGAACGAGUGUGAGAGUGGAAAGUUCACACUGCGACGGUAUCUUACCAGAAAGGGACGGCUAACUACGUGCCAGCAGCCGCGGUAAUACGUAGGUCCCGAGCGUUGUCCGGAUUUAUUGGGCGUAAAGCGAGCGCAGGCGGUUAGAUAAGUCUGAAGUUAAAGGCUGUGGCUUAACCAUAGUACGCUUUGGAAACUGUUUAACUUGAGUGCAAGAGGGGAGAGUGGAAUUCCAUGUGUAGCGGUGAAAUGCGUAGAUAUAUGGAGGAACACCGGUGGCGAAAGCGGCUCUCUGGCUUGUAACUGACGCUGAGGCUCGAAAGCGUGGGGAGCAAACAGGGAUAGAUACCCUGGUAGUCCACGCCGUAAACGAUGAGUGCUAGGUGUUAGACCCUUUCCGGGGUUUAGUGCCGCAGCUAACGCAUUAAGCACUCCGCCUGGGGAGUACGACCGCAANUUG